rnacentral:rRNA from 1 species
GACGAACGCUGGCGGCGUGCUUAACACAUGCAAGUCGAACGGAAAGGCGCUGCGUUUGUGGGUUGCUCGUUUGGCGAACGGGUGAGUAACACGUGAGUAACCUGCCCCUGACUGUGGGAGAACUUCAGGAAACUGCGGCGAUUACCGGGUAGGAUCUCCUGCUGCACGGGGGGGGUUGGAAAGUGUCGGCGGUGGGGGAUGGAUUCGCGGCUUAUCAGCUUGUUUGUGGGGUAGUUGCUUACCAAGGCUUUGACGGGUAGCCGGCCUGAGAGGGUGACCGGCCACAAUGGGACUGCGGUACGGCCCAGACUCCUACGGGCGGCAGCAGUGGGGAAUAUUGCACAAUGGGCGGAAGCCUGAUGCGGCAACGCCGCGUGCGGGAUGACGGCCUUCGGGUUGUAAACAGAUUUCGACUGUGACGAAGCGUGAGUGACGGUAAUGGGUAAAGAAGCACCGGCUAACUACGUG